CGUAAAACGGUAUUGUUUAUCUUAUUCGAGGAGUUCUGAAAUUGAAAAGAGAUAGAAUGUGUAUUUGUGUUUGAAAAAUGCAUUUAAUAUUAGAGUAUACAAGCGAUGAGGAGGCGGAACAAGCGUUGGUACAUGAAUUGUUUGAAGUAGGAGGCCAUGGAUUGAAAACUUUUUGUGCGAACACACAAAGUUAAAGGACAUACAUUUGCACAGAGAAAAACGAGCCCUCAAAAAUCUGCUUGUCAGUUUUGAUGUGGACGACAAGCAGAAAGAGGGCUUCACAUAUAUGUCCUCCAAACAUGGCAAACACAUCCUUAAUCGGUGAAAUAGACUUUCUGACACACUUUGUUUGCCGGAAGCGGGAAGAGAAAAAUGUGCAGCAGUCAAGCAUGGUAUUGAUACUGACGUCCAACUAGUUCGCUGGGGCUUCUACUGCCCGGGUCAGGGGAAUUGUCAAAGGGCAUGUGGUGGCUAUGGAAGAUGUGCUGAAGGUUGUGAUGUUACUCAGAAGCGAAACAACAAACAUUGCUGCAGUGUUGAAGUCAUUGCUGAAAUCCUUGCCUCAGACCCUACACGAUGGCGUGUCUGUGUUAAAGGCCAGCAUGUUCCUCCAGGUAUCGAAUGGCUGCCUCCCAACAAAGAAUAAGCCCAUGUUAGAGCGAGUGAAGGACAAUGUAAUGAGUGAUAGGUUAGUGGGUUUAACUCCCUUUAACAUUUAUAGAAAACAACUUGCUGGGAUAGAAGAAAAUAAAAUAGCUGCUUCAUUCAAGGACACCCGCUCACAUCCAGUUCCAGAAAGGUUGACUGACGUAUAUAACACUGAGAAGCGUCAUUCAUUUCAAUCUGGUCAAUGGUCAUCAGUUCAUGCUUGUGUUCCUGAGUUGAAGCAGCAAGGCAUUCUGCUUCUGUACCAUCAACCCAGUAGUCAGACUGAUGCUCCGGAAGCGGACAAAUUAUUUACCUUGUGCUUAAGCAAGCACACAGCUCUGCAAUCUGCCAGAAGGAAUCAACAUGUGUUGGGAAUUGACGGCAAGCACGGUCUACAAGAUGAUGGUGCAUGCGUGACCACUUGUGUCACACAACACCAUGAUGGCUUUGGCUGCCCAACAGCCAUCUCUAUAAUAAAUAGAGAAAACACCUACUCCAUUUUGUUGACACUGCAAGCAAUCAUAGAAAAUGUGCCAUGUGAUAGUGCAGAAUGUACCCAUGACUUCACCUACUUGGGGAUUCCUGAUCAGCGAUGAUAUAGGAGAAAGACCAUUUGUGCUGCUCACAAUCCUUAUAAACCACUGGUCAUGAUAGACAAGCAUGAACCAUCUGCAAAUGCAUGUCAGCGUCUCGGAUUGCAGUAUGUGCUUUGCUGGUUUCACAUUGUGAAGGCAAUGAUGGAGAAGCUAAAAGCUCUCAACCUUUAACUUGUUCAGUCAUACCUGGUCAUCCUUGGCUUCAAGAUUGUUGCAAGGUCUUCACAUCAUGAAACUGCAGUUGCACGAUGGGAGCUAUUUAUCCAGAUGAUCAAGAGCAUGGAAGUGACGCCUGCUACUCAAAACGCACUGUUGAAGUACCUGACUGAGGAAUGGUGGUGUGAAAAAUGGAGAUAUGCCUGGCUGGAUUCAUCUCGCCUUCCCCUGAUUGCUAAUGGAGAGCGGACAAUGACCACCAAUAACCAUGAUGAACAGCUGAACCUUCAGGUAACAGACUGUGUUGGUGGAAGAAGGAAAAAGGCUUCAACACUGUUGUAUGAGCUUACAGGUGUUCAAGCAUCCAAGGAGAAUAGCGGUAGCCAGUUUGUUCCUCCCAAGAAAGCAUCGUUUCUCAACAUUCACGCAGCAAAGACUAUUGCACAUGACCUGGGAACCGACAUUGGCACACCGUGAGACAUCAAACUACGCUCAAACCAAACUAGAUUACUGUUUCUGACCCAAGAAAUCCUACCUGUACGAGAAGACUCUUCUGAUCUGUUCUUCGUUGAGGAUUUUGACAGUCAUGUGAAAAGGUUUUGCGAUCAUAAGGGGAAUUGGGUGACAGUGAACACAGAUACAUGUUCUGUUCUACAAGGCCUUCUGAAAAGCUUGAUACCAGAAAAUGUUGUUGUACCAAACAAAUGUGUCUUGGUAAAUACAGCAGAGCCAGCCUGUAGUUGUUCAGACUUUCUGUGGAGAUCAGGACUUCGUGACCCAUGCAGUCAUUUCAAAGCCUGUGAAAUGUAUAAAUGAGGUUUACUGAUAGCCAUGGAUGAGGUGAAACUUCAAAAAAGGCAACUCCUAGCAAAGAGCAUUCGACAGCAGCAGAUGGCAAAGCCGCGUACUGAAAGAAACUUGCUGCUGGCCUCAAGAGAUGAUGAGGUAUUGUCCUGUAUUUGUUCUUUCUUUUUUAAGAUAACUGUAAAAGUGUAAGAAUAGCUUGAUUUUA